rnacentral:pre_miRNA from 1 species
CUGAUGGGUUUGAAGUGCUGACAUUGCAGAUAGUGCUUCCAUGGUUACCCUGCAGUGCAGCCACUCACUGGUGCCAUC